GGGAAAGAAGGCGGUGUGGAUUAAAGUUCCCAAGGAACAGGCGAAACUAGUACCCGUUGCGAUUGAGGUGGGAUUUGGGUACCACCACGCAGAGCCUUCAUAUGUGAUGUUAGUGCAUUGGAUCCCUCAAACUCCCCCCACCAUCCCUGAUAAUGCUUCACAUCAAGCGGGAGUUGCAGCUUUUGUAUUCAACGAGGAGGGAGAGGUAAAGAUGUAAUCCAGUUCUUAUAUAUUGUAGUUACUCUGCUUAAUAUUCUCCUCCUGUCCGUAGCAAUGUAACUGUGAAGUGUGAAAAGACAUUCACUAUUUUGAGUGGUUGUUCGUUUGAAGAGGUUUUUUUUUCCUUACAUAAAUUAUCGUGACAAUGGCAAUAUAGGUUCUAGUAGUUCAAGAAAAGUGUGGCCCUUACAAAGAUUCCGGGUUGUGGAAGAUGCCAACAGGAAGAAUUAACCAGGGGGAAGGCAUUAAGGAAGGGGCCGUAAGAGAAGUUCAGGAAGAAACAGGGGUAAAU